UACAGAGGUCUCAAGCGUUGUUCGGAUUCACUGGGCGUAAAGGGUGCGUAGGUGGCUUGGUAAGUUUGAUGUGAAAUCUCCGGGCUUAACCCGGAAAUGGCAUUGAAUACUAUUGAGCUGGAGGUUUGGAGGGGGGACUGGAAUUCUCGGUGUAGCAGUGAAAUGCGUAGAUAUCGAGAGGAACACCAGUGGCGAAGGCGAGUCCCUGGACAACACCUGACACUGAGGCACGAAAGCUAGGGGAGCAAAAGGG
rnacentral:rRNA from 1 species